UUGAGGCGUGGCUUCCGGAGCUAACGCGUUAAGUAGACCGCCUGGGGAGUACGGCCGCAAGGUUAAAACUCAAAUGAAUUGACGGGGGCCCGCACAAGCGGUGGAGCAUGUGGUUUAAUUCGAUGCAACGCGAAGAACCUUACCUGGUCUUGACAUCCACAGAACUUUCCAGAGAUGGAUUGGUGCCUUCGGGAACUGUGAGACAGGUGCUGCAUGGCUGUCGUCAGCUCGUGUUGUGAAAUGUUGGGUUAAGUCCCGCAACGAGCGCAACCCUUAUCCUUUGUUGCCAGCGAUUAGGUCGGGAACUCAAAGGAGACUGCCAGUGAUAAACUGGAGGAAGGUGGGGAUGACGUCAAGUCAUCAUGGCCCUUACGACCAGGGCUACACACGUGCUACAAUGGCGCAUACAAAGAGAAGCGACCUCGCGAGAGCAAGCGGACCUCAUAAAGUGCGUCGUAGUCCGGAUUGGAGUCUGCAACUCGACUCCAUGAAGUCGGAAUCGCUAGUAAUCGUGGAUCAGAAUGCCACGGUGAAUACGUUCCCGGGCCUUGUACACACCGCCCGUCACACCAUGGGAGUGGGUUGCAAAAGAAGUAGGUAGCUUAACCUUCGGGAGGGCGCUUACCACUUUGUGAUUCAUGACUGGGGUGAAGUCGUAACAAGGUAACCGUAGGGGAACCUGCGGUUGGA
rnacentral:rRNA from 1 species